GAUGAACGCUAGCGGCAGGCCUAACACAUGCAAGUCGAGGGGUAACUAGAGUGAUAGCAAUAUUACUUUGGCUAGACCGGCGCACGGGUGCGUAACACGUAUGCAACCUACCUUAUACUGGGGAAUAACUUCGAGAAAUCGGCGCUAAUACCCCAUAACAUUGCGAAGAGGCAUCUCUUUGCAAUUAAAGCUCCGGCGGUAUAAGAUGGGCAUGCGUCCAAUUAGCUAGUUGGUGAGGUAACGGCUCACCAAGGCUACGAUUGGUAGGGGUUCUGAGAGGAUGAUCCCCCACACUGGUACUGGGACACGGACCAGACUCCUACUGGAGGCAGCAGUGAGGAAUAUUGCGCAAUGGACGAAAGUCUGACGCAGCCAUGCCGCGUGCAGGAUGACGGCCCUAUGGGUUGUAAACUGCUUUUGUACGGGAAUAAACCCUUCUACGUGUAGGAGGCUGAAGGUACCGUAAGAAUAAGCACCGGCUAACUCCGUGCCAGCCGCCGCAGUAACAC
rnacentral:rRNA from 1 species